AUGACGUGGCUUGAUCUGGUCCACCAAGGUGCACUCCCACGAUGGGCAGCCCAACCCACCGAUCUCUCUCCCUUAUCCCACGAUCUCUCUCUCUCCCACGUGACUCUGCCUGUCUCCCACGUACCCAUCUCUCUCUCUUACGGGCAGACUACAGCGGCAAGAUCGAGUGGCGCAGGCGAGGAGAGAAAGAGACGCGGGCAGCGCGGCACGGGCCGGCGAGCUCUGGCGCCUCCUCCCUCCGGCGAGCAGCGCGGCGGGGCCUCCUCCCUCCGGCGCCUCCUCACUCCGGCGAGCAGCGCGGGCGGCACGGCACGGGCCGUUGAGCAGCGCGGUCUCCUCCCUCCGGCGCCUCCUCACUCUGGCAAGCAGCGCGGGCGGCACGGCGCGGGCCGGUGA
rnacentral:rRNA from 1 species